AGACCGAUAGCAAACAAGUACGGUGACGGAAGAUUGAAAAGAACUUUGAAGAGAGAGUUCAAUAGUACGUGAAACUGUGUGGUGGUAAACGGAGGGGUUCUCGAAGUUUCUGUGGGGAACUCAGCCUUGGUGUCGCGUGGCCCUGUCGUAUCCGAUCAGCAAUGACGGUGCGGCUUGGCCGACGUGUCUCUCGGGUGCAUUUCCCCCGCAGUUUACGGCAGGAACUGUUUGGAGCGCACCGAAGGCCUCGGGUGAAGUUGUUGGUUCUGCUGGCAGCCCUGGGUGUCCUGGCUUCGCACCAGACAGGUACGUGAGAGGACUCGUAUAGCGAGCAAUGCUCUGUUGCGGUUCUCAUCUCUCUGCCGAGUAGGUCGGCGGCCCCUCCGACCCGUCUUGAAACACGGAC
rnacentral:rRNA from 1 species